UACGAAGGGGGCUAGCGUUGCUCGGAAUCACUGGGCGUAAAGGGCGCGUAGGCGGCUUUGUAAGUCGGGGGUGAAAGCCUGUGGCUCAACCACAGAAUUGCCUUCGAUACUGCAUGGCUUGAGACCGGAAGAGGUUAGUGGAACUGCGAGUGUAGAGGUGAAAUUCGUAGAUAUUCGCAAGAACACCAGUGGCGAAGGCGGCUCACUGGCCCGGUACUGACGCUGAGGCACGAAAGCGUGGGGAGCAAACAGG
rnacentral:rRNA from 1 species